UAUAGGUGCGACCUCUGCUGCAGCAGAUUCGAGAGUAAUUAUUCUGUAGGAGUCUGGAUUUUUAUUGGGUUCUUCCUUGAUGUAGGAUUGCAUUUUUGGAACUAAUUUUAGGCCAUCUAGGAUCACAUCAUCCCCUAUUCUUCAGAAAGAUUCAUCUUCGAAUCUUGACCUUAAUCAGAGGGGAAAGAUUAAUGACAACAACAGAAAUCACAACAUACUUGCUCGACUUGUUGACUUCAUCAUUGAUGUGUCCAUAAAUGGAAUCAUACUUCCUCUUAGAUCAUGCAAGAUAUCAUCACUAGAAACAAAAGAAUUAUCAGAUAAACAUCACUCAUUGUGGUGGCUGGCUUCAUCUCUUUCUUUUGUAUCUUUCGUGAUAGGAUGCUCGACCUCUGUAGGAGCUUAAAUCCCUUUUUGAACAGGAAGGUUCUUUGUCACAUCAUCAUAUGGUCAGACCAUCUCUUCGCUUAAUGCUCAUCGAACUAAGCUAUUCCAUUAAUCAAAUGGAUAUUGAAGUUUUUGCAUGUCGUGCUAUAGUUUGGUGAACUCUUUGCAAAAACUCAUUGUAAAAGAUUCCUAUAAAAGAAUGUUAAUGAAAGUAAAUAAAC
rnacentral:lncRNA from 1 species